rnacentral:rRNA from 1 species
GACGAACCGUCCUAACGUUGUUCGGAAUCACUGGGCUUAAAGGGCGCGUAGGCGGCUUGCCAAGUCAGGGGUGAAAUCCUGCAGCUUAACUGUAGAAGGGCCUUUGAUACUGGCGAGCUCGAGGGAGGUAGGGGUAUGCGGAACUUCCGGUGGAGCGGUGAAAUGCGUAGAUAUCUGGAGGAACACCGGUGGCGAAGGCGGCGUUCUGGACUGCAACUGACACUGAUGAACGAAAGCCAGGGGAGCAAACGGG